rnacentral:tmRNA from 1 species
GGGGGUGUUUUGGGUUCGACUGAGGGCCGUAGUGUAUGAUGGCAUGUCGGAGAUGAUGGUUGGCUCCGUAAAAAUCCAUUAAAAAAAUUAAACGGCAAAAAUAAUAAAGCUGUUGCUACUCUAUUCGUCGACAAUGUCGUGAGAGAUCUCGACUUCAAUGUUGAUGUCAAGAGUAUAGCCGCAUAGAUUAAUGUGGCGCAUCAAGUCGUGGGAUACUCGCUACCGCGGAUUUGGUGUCGAUUAGCGAGUGAAACUCGAAGUGGACCGGCAGGCUUCGAGUAGAUCCGAAAUUGUCGGCUAGGUUGUGGUGAUUGCGUUCAUUCAAGCAUCACAGUCGAAAUCAAAGAAUGAACUAAACAUGUAGAGGUCAUAUGUGAACGCUCACAGGACGCGGGUUCAACUCCCGCCACCUCCACCC